CAAGAAUCCAGAAGCCAAUGGACCCGCUACAUUCCUGGCAACACCGAGCAACCGCUCCUGGGCAAUAUGGUGAAGAGCAGACUGCAGUGACCUUCCAACGACCGGGGGCGCUCCACAAGGCCCGAUGGAUGGCCAAGCUGCUCUAUACUCUCAAGCUGGCUUUGAUGGAGCAGCACAUCGCGUUGCCUCCCCAGGGCACAAUCACCACACGGCAGCAGGUGCCGGAGAUUCGAGCAUUUGCCUUUUUCGUUACACACAUCUAUGCAAAGUGGUGGUUGACCUGCGAGAAAGCCGUAGAUGCUGCAUGGAAUGACCUGACACUCUAC
ensembl:lncRNA